rnacentral:rRNA from 1 species
UACAGAGGGUGCGAGCGUUAAUCGGAAUUACUGGGCGUAAAGCGAGCGUAGGCGGUUGUCUAAGUCGGAUGUGAAAGCCCCGGGCUCAACCUGGGAAUUGCAUUCGAUACUGGGCAGCUAGAGUUCGGCAGAGGGAAGCGGAAUUUCCGGUGUAGCGGUGAAAUGCGUAGAUAUCGGAAGGAACAUCAGUGGCGAAAGCGGCUUCCUGGACCAGAACUGACGAUCAGGCUCGAAAGCGUGGGGAGCAAACAGG